rnacentral:rRNA from 1 species
CCUACGGGAGGCAGCAGUGAGGAAUAUUGGUCAAUGGGCGAGAGCCUGAACCAGCCAAGUCGCGUGAAGGAUGACGGCCCUACGGGUUGUAAACUUCUUUUAUCAGGGAGCAAUUGGCUCCACGCGUGGGCUUAUCUAUAGUCCCUGCAGGAAAAGCCUCGGCGAACUCCGUCCCAGCAGCCGCGGUAAUACGGAGGAUCCGAGCGUUCUCCGGAUUUAUUGGGUUUAAAGGGAGCGUAGGUGGAUUGUUAAGUCAGUUGUGAAAGUUUGCGGUUCAACCGUAAAAUUGCAGGUGAAACUGGCAGUCUUGAGUACAGGAGAGGUGGGCGGAAUUCGUGGUGUAGCGGUGAAAUGCUUAGAUAUCACGAAGAACUCCGAUUGCGAAGGCAGUUCACUGGAUUGCAACUGACACUGAGGUGCGAAAGUGUGGGUAUCAAACAGGAUUAGAUACCCCAGUAGUC